UUACUCACAGUCAGCUCGGUA
rnacentral:piRNA from 1 species